ensembl:snoRNA
UUAUAAUGAUGUUGAUAAAUGUCUGACCUGAAAUCAGUAUGUAGACUACUUCAUUACUGAAAGA